rnacentral:lncRNA from 1 species
CUGGGAGCCCAGGCCCCCGCUGGUGGCUGUAGCCUGGUAAGUGGGCACAACGCAGGGCAGGACUGAUUGUUCUGUUUCCUCAGACUUUCCUGUACAGGCACUUGGUCAAGGCACUGACCCAUUCAUUCCCCCGUGUCUGCUGUACACACCUGUCCAAACCAGCCAGCCCGGCUGUCCAUCCAUCCUUCACUCUUUCCAUUCACUUACUUGCCUCCACCCACAGACCUCACCCACCCAUCCAUCACCACGUUUGCCUCACCACCCACCUGUGUGCCUGCUUGUCUCUCUGUCACCAUCCACCCACUCUGGCCCGUGGCCAUUCAUCCUGCACCAUCUUCCCACUGUCCUGCCUCUGCCUAGCUAUCCUUCCACCCAUCCACACAGCUGCCCACCCACUCACUGGCCAGUUGCUGGUUUAUGCAUAUUUCCAGUCCAUUGAGCUACUGUGGGGGGACACCAUGGGCAGGUGGCUGAUAGGUGUUACCCAGAACAACGACUCCUCAGUUCUGGAGGCUGGGGAGAGCAAGGUCCAGGUGCCACAGGUUCAGCGUCAGGUUCCUGGUCCAGAGAUGGCAUCUUCCACACAUCCUCACAUGGUGGGAGGGGUGUGGCUCUGUGGGGUCUCCAUGACCUAAUUGCCUCCCAGCACCACCAACGUGGUGAUCUCAACAUUCGACUUUUGGAGUGAAACCAUCUUCAGGCCCCAGCAGCAUCCCCCUGAGUGUCCACCGUGCACCGUCAUUUCCAUGUUCUCUCGCCACCUUCUUGUCCAUCUGUCCACUCAUCCAGCUGCUUGCCAGGCCAGUGGCCUGCCACUCUGCACCCCUCCUGGUCUCUUCCCCCAUCCAUUCACCUAUUCUUCCAGCAUUUAAUAGGUCCGUGCUGUGUGAGGCCCCGCACACGAAGAGGUCCCUGCCAUGUAGCACUAUGUCACUCUCAUGUGCUCUUAGUCUCUCCUGACCCAGUCCUUCCCCCCAAGCCAAUCACCCCUCCUUCUUUUAUUCCAGAAUUAAGGUGACAAUGGUUCCUGGUGGCAGCUCUGUAUGAACAUUCCUUUUCCCCUUCCUAGACUGUGAGCUCCUCGAGGGCAGAGUCCGGGUUUGCUGGUCUUUGUGACCCCAGACCCCAGCAACAGCACGCAGGAGGCCCCAGGACAAAGCACAUGGGGUUGGGUCUCUUUCCAGUUCUCCUGACUCGCUGUGCGACCUUGGGCAAGCUUCUUAAGCUCAGGAGGGCAGGAUGGACACUUGUUUAUUCAUUUGAGUGACGGAAAAAUGAACACAUACCUUCCAUGUCCUUCUGGGCUGCGACAACCUCUCGGCAUUCUCAAAGGCCCUCCUUUCUUUCCUGCUCAGGAGAACGGGGCAGGAAGUCUUAGGAUCCUUGUUCUGAGAAUGAGGAAGCCCAGGCUCAGAGAAGUAGCAUCUGUCUCACCUGUUGCCAUGCAGCUACUAAGGGAUAGCACUGGAAUUGGAUCCAAAUCUGACUGAGCUCAAAGUGCAUGGCUCCUCCUGCACCAGCCGCCUCCCUGGGAAGGAAGCCUUAGCUCUGCUCCCUCUAAAGGUCUGGCCCCCUUCUCCAGCAGGUCAGUGUGCACAACCUUAGCUCUAGGAGGGUUGCUCAUUAAAAAACCAAAUGUAUCUUUUCACGGGAACCUGAAAUUCUCUGUGUUUCUUCUGCACGGUGCGUGUACCUUGCCCAGUUCACUUGUCAUGCUGUGGUCUGUGGUCAUAGUCUGCCUUCUCAGCACUUCAUCUUCCUCUUGUUCCUCAUGUACAUUUCCUGCUCAUUCUUCCCUGUUAUGCUUAUCAGAUGAAAGAAAAAGUGUGCAUUUAACAUUGGACCUGGCUGUUUGGAAAAUAAAUCAUGCAAAGAUGGAAAUUGUCAUUUA